UACGUAGGGGGCUAGCGUUGUCCGGAAUCAUUGGGCGUAAAGAGCGUGUAGGCGGCCCGGUAAGUCCGCUGUGAAAGUCGGGGGCUCAACCCUCGAAUGCCGGUGGAUACUGUCGGGCUAGAGUGCGGAAGAGGCGAGUGGAAUUCCUGGUGUAGCGGUGAAAUGCGCAGAUAUCGGGAGGAACACCUAUGGCGAAGGCAGCUCGCUGGGACGUUACUGACGCUGAGACGCGAAAGCGUGGGGAGCGAACAGG
rnacentral:rRNA from 1 species